AUGCAGCCAGCUCCCGCGGUCGUCGUGCCUCCCGCAGGCCAGCCCAACAUGGCGCCGGCCUCCUCGGCCCAGCCCGACAUGCAUGGCUCGGGGCCUUCCACCCUGACGUCGAUCGCCACAGCACCCGCCUCACCCGCGCCGCUCUCGGCUGCGUCACCAUCCCCGUCCCCUUCUCCACCACCACCACCACCACCCCCUCCUCCUUCUCGUCGCUCUCGCGACAGCACCGCCUCCACCACCAACACUCACACCAUGCUCACUCGCGCCAAGCGUGGUAUUUUUCAGCCCAUUAAUAAACUUAAUCUAUCGGCUGAACACUCCUCUCUCUCUCCUAUUCCCAAAACAUAUCGCUCUGCUCUCCAGGAUCCCCUUUGGCGUGCUGCCAUGACUGAGGAGUACGAUGCUAUCCUUCAGAACCGCACUUGGACUCUUGUUCCUCGACCGGUUGGUGCUAACAUUGUUUCAGGAAAGUGGAUAUUCAAGCACAAGUUUGGUGCUGACGGUGCUCUCGCUCGGUACAAGGCACGGUGGGUGGUCUGUGGAUUCUCGCAGCAGCCUGGCAUUGACUACGACGAGACCUUCAGUCCAGUCGUCAAGCCGGCCACGAUCCGCGUUGUGCUCAGCAUCGCCGUCUCACAUGCUUGGCCGGUUCAUCAGUUGGACGUCAAGAAUGCCUUCCUCCAUGGCGAUCUUGACGAGGUGGUCCACUGUGAGCAGCCACCCGGCUUCAUCGACCCUACACGUCCUCACCAUGUCUGCCUGCUCCACAAGUCACUCUAUGGACUCAAGCAGGCGCCCCGCGCGUGGUACCAGCGGUUCGCUCAUCACGCUCAUCGACUGGGCUUUGUGGCUUCUCAGAGCGACGUGUCUCUGUUCGUGCUCCGGCACGGCUCUGAGAUGGCCUACCUGCUCCUCUACGUGGACGACAUCAUCCUCACCGCGUCCAGCGCCGCGCUUCUCCAGCACAUCACCGACCAGCUUCAUCGGGAGUUCUCCAUGACCGAUCUCGGGGACCUGACUUACUUCCUGGGGAUCUCGGUCUCUCGGUCUUCUUCCGGAAUGCUUCUCUCGCAGCGGCAGUAUGCCAUCAAUCUUCUUCAGCGCGCUGGCAUGAUGGAUUGCAACCCGUGUGUCACGCCUAUUGACACCCGUUGCAAGCUCUCCGCCGACGAGGGUCCCCUUGUCACCAACGCCAUGGAGUACCGGAGUUUUGCCGGGGCCCUUCAGUACCUGACGCUCACUCGCCCCGACAUUGCACAUGCUGUUCAGCAAGCGUGCCUCUACAUGCACGCUCCCCGGGAACCUCAUCUCAACCUCGUUAAGCGGAUUCUUCGCUAUGUUCGUGGCACCCUCGACCUCGGUCUACAACUCCACUCCACACCGGCCACCUCGCUCACUGCAUACUCUGACGCGGAUUGGGCCGGCUGCCCCGACACCCGACGAUCUACCUCUGGAUACUAUGUCUACCUUGGUGAUAACCCGGUGUCUUGGUCCUCCAAACGCCAGGCCACGGUGUCUCGCUCCAGUGCCGAGGCCGAGUAUCGAGCCGUGGCCCAUGUCGUGGCUGAGUGUUGCUGGCUUCGUCAACUUCUCCUCGAGCUUCAUCGUCCUCUACCAUCCGCCACCGUUGUCUUUUGUGAUAACGUCAGUGCUGUCUACAUGGCAUGCAACCCGGUCCAGCAUCGCCGCACGAAGCACAUCGAGAUUGACAUCCACUUCGUCCGCGAGAAGGUGUCUCUCGGUCAGAUUCGGGUUCUACAUGUGCCAUCCUCACAGCAGUUUGCCGAUAUCAUGACGAAGGGCCUACCGACUCAGCUCUUGGACUUUCGGUACAGUUUAUGCGUUCGACCGACGCACAAACUGCGGGGGGAUGUUAACGUAUAA
rnacentral:rRNA from 1 species